UGGGCCCAGCUCGGACUGGUCCGCCGGGCCCAAGGGCUCUGGUGCCUUCUGGAAAGCGCUGGCUGGGACUUCACCCUCCUCCUGCAUGUGACGGACACAGCACUGAUCCUGGCAGCUCCUUACCCCCAGCAGCCCGAAACUCACUCCUUAAUUACACAAGGGAAACCUUUUACCUCCGCAGCCAGAGUCUGGGGGGAAAGGCAGGCGUGGGAAGAUGGGUUCUCUACCUGGCCAGUGCCAUGUUGCCUGUUUCUUUACUGUAACUGUGGUGACAAAGAAAAGGGAAGAUGGAGCCUCCAUGUUGAACAUACCUGGCCCCCAGCACUAACUCCCUCUCUGGAUAUCUGGAACAAGGAGGACCUUAAACUUAACAAUAAAGCCAAUGAUGGUUCUACCAGUCUCCCCAAAGCCUCAAGUUUAAAAGCCAUAUGAACUGGCUGAUAGUGGAAAAUGGAAGCCAUGAGGUUGAAAAGUGAAUCCUCAAAGGAAAAAUGGAAACUACUCUUGAACUUGUUGGGAUUUGAAAUUUCCUCAGGAAAUCAGAUUAGAGUACUACCUGGUGAAGCCUGGAGGACCUACCAAGAAAAGCAAACUUGGAUCUUUGCAAGGUUAGAAGAACGAAUGGGAUCCAAGAAAAAGACUGGUCAUAUUCAACGGCUAAGAGCGUUGGAGAAGGCCUGUGGAGUCUCAGCAGGUCAGGUCCAUGACUCAUGAGUAGACACCUGUGUUUCUACUGCCUGGUGCCAUAAUCAUAAACAAGGAAGAAACUGAGGACAGGAGGGGCCAAACAAGUUACAGUUUCAUCCCUCCAGAGAGCCAACAGAGUAUUUUGCACGAAGUUGAAGCUAAACAGGUAUUAUGUCCUAUCUCUGGACUGAAUGACUAGAUGCUACUCAGCUUCUGAACUAGAGGAAGCCUGGGACCUUGACCGCACUAAUGCUGAUGACAGCGGAUUUGCAAGUGGCUAGAGGUACCAGAUUUAGCAAAUCAAAAUAUAGGACGUCAAGUUAAAUUUAAGUGUAAGAUAAGCUACGAAUACCUUUUCUAGUAUUAGUACGUCCCAUGCAAUAUACUAGAAAUGUUAUUCGUUAUUUAUGUUAAAUUUAAUUUUAUUAGGGCAUCCUAUAUUUUACCUGUCAAUCCAACCCAUGACCUAGGCAGACACUGUAGAAAAACAAAAGGAGAAUUAAGGAGAUAAAUGAAACACAGGGUGAGCUGAAAAGAGGUGCUCUGUGAAUUUGAGGGUCCAGUAGGAGCUGACUUGUAGGUACUUGGUCUGUUUUGAUGCCCACAACAACCUUGGGGAAGGGGCGGAAUAGCAGAGGGGUAAGCUCUCUGCCCCCCACCAGGGUUCUGCAGGACGCCAGGGCUUUUAUCAGCACCCCUAUGUUCACAUCCUGGCUGCACCCUCCUUGGUUGUAUAUACUCUGGAUAAUUCACUUAAUUUAAAUCUUGCUGCUUUUAUAAAAUUGAUAAAAAGUUAAUAGUGACACUGAUCACACUGAUGUCCCUCAAUGAAUUAUCAAUAUGUUUUUUCUUCCCACCUAUAUUCUUUAUUGAACUCUGUUAUUUUUGAUCCUGGUCUAGAGUAAGCAUUAUGACCAUGCAAGAGUGAAAUGAAAUUUUUAAAAAUAAUUUUUUAAUGUUUUCUGAAUGCUGGGUGUUUUCAAUGAUCAUGCAUGACUGGCAGCAAAGAGGAACGAGGAUGGAUUCGAUAAGGUGCAACAAGUCCUGAACACACACAGAGAACUGGCUGUGAAUCCUGUUUCUGCCACUCACCACUUACUUGUUGGGUAACCUUAGCCACUUCAUUUAUCCUCUCUGAUCUUCAGGCCUACCUCAUGUCCUCCCCAAAGAGAUGGUGGGUAAGAGAGAACUUUGCAAAAGGCUGCCAGAGCAUAAAUAGGUCUUAUGACUAUGUAGCAGAAAAAUGGGACCUCAAAGAGGAGAGAGACCUGCAAAGCGGGGGACUGCUGCCAUUCUUUGAGUGGUGGCUCAAAAUAUUUCCCCAAACUGUCCCCAUCUGGUCAGGAUGCCCCACAGCCUUUUACUAAGAUGGUGUCUUCAUCUAGCCUCAGCCCAGCUGCAGUACCUUUCUGGAACUCCCACCACUGAUGCUCAAGAGGAGAGUGUAAGUUCAAGAGGGUUAAGCUCUCUACCCACCCGCUCAUCCACAGUCCCUCAGACAAGCAUGCAGAUACAUGCUUUGUUUGGUUGGUUGGUUGGUUGGUCGGUCGGUUGGUUUUGUUUUGAGACAGGGUCUUGCUCUGUUGCUCAG
rnacentral:lncRNA from 1 species